rnacentral:rRNA from 1 species
GACGAACGCUGGCGGCGUGCCCAAUACAUGCAAGUCGAACGCUGAAGGAGGAGCUUGCUUCUCCGGAUGAGUUGCGAACGGGUGAGUAACGCGUAGGUAACCUGCCUGGUAGCGGGGGAUAAAUCUUGGAAACGCUAGCUAAUACCGCAUAAGAGUAGAUGUCGCAUGACAUUUGCUUAAAAGGUGCAACUGCACUACUACCAGAUGGACCUGCGUUGUAUUAGCUAGUUGGUGGGGUAACGGCUCACCACGGCAACGAUACAUAGCCGACCUGAGAGGGUGAUGGGCACAACUGGAACUGAGACACGGCCCAGACUCCACCGGGAGGCAGAAGAAGGGAUCUUUCGGCAAUGGCCGAAAUCCUGCCGGGGAAACGCCGCGUAAUUAAGGAAGGUCUUCGGAUCGAAAGCCUCUGUUUUAAGGGAAGACCAUAUGUGGAAGGGAAAGUGCACACUGUGACGGUAUCUUACCAGAAAGGGACGGCUAACUACGUG